rnacentral:rRNA from 1 species
GACGAACGCUUGCGGCGUGCCUAAGAAAUGCAAGUCGAGCGGGGUUGCUUCUCCUUGAGUUGAGAAGCAAGUUGAGAGUCUUUAGUUGAGAGUUGAGAGUAACGACCAGUCGGCCAACUCUCAACUCUCCAACCCUCAACUCUCAACUGAAUGAGGAGUAACCUAGCGGCGAACGGUCGCGUAACACGUAAGCAACCUGCCCCGAAGACCGGGACAACAGUCCGAAAGGAUUGCAAUACCGGAUGUGGCCAUUCCGUUGCAUGACGGGGUGAUUAAAUCAGGAAACUGGCUUCGGGAGGGGCUUGCGGCCUAUCAGCUAGUUGGUGGGGUAACGCCUACCAAGGCGACGACGGGUAGCUGGUCUGAGAGGAUGUCCAGCCGGACUGGGACUGAGACACGGCCCAGACUCCGUACGGGGGCAGCAAUUAGGAAUC